rnacentral:lncRNA from 1 species
UUUUCAUUCAUAAAUCAUACAUUCAUUUAAUCAAUGGGGGUUACCAUUCCCGGGAAUUUAUAACAUUUUUCAAUGCACAACAUAAUACAAAACCAUACAUUAUUAACAAAAUCUCCAAAACCUCACUAAACAAUACCCUAAACCUGACUAACCCCACAACUAAUUAGCUACUACCCUCACUUAUAGUCCCCAUAAAUCCCAUCCUACGACAUGUAUA